GACGAACGCUGGCGGCGUGCUUAACACAUGCAAGUCGAACGGAAAGGCCCUGCUUUUGUGGGGUGCUCGAGUGGCGAACGGGUGAGUAACACGUGAGUAACCUGCCCUUGAUUUUGGGAUAACUUCAGGAAACUGGGGCUAAUACCGGAUAGGAGCUCCUGCUGCAUGGUGGGGGUUGGAAAGUUUCGGCGGUUGGGGAUGGACUCGCGGCUUAUCAGUUUGUUGGUGGGGUAGUGGCUUACCAAGGCUUUGACGGGUAGCCGGCCUGAGAGGGUGACCGGCCACAUUGGGACUGAGAUACGGCCCAGACUCCUACGGGAGGCAGCAGUGGGGAAUAUUGCACAAUGGGCGGAAGCCUGAUGCAGCAACGCCGCGUGCGGGAUGACGGCCUUCGGGUUGUAAACCGCUUUCGCCUGUGACGAAGCGUGAGUGACGGUAAUGGGUAAAGAAGCACCGGCUAACUACGUG
rnacentral:rRNA from 1 species